rnacentral:lncRNA from 1 species
AUGUCCAUCUCCCACACAGAUCUUUCUGCAGCCUCCCGGAUUAUUGUGGACAGCCCUGAGUUUUGGGAAAUAAGGUCACUGCACAGUUCCGCUUCAGUAUCAGCACCUGGCUUUGCCAUGAUGCUUUUCACAGAGACGACAAUAUCCUGCUAUUCAGAGCAUGGAUGGCACUACCAAACCACAGCAAAGAGUAUCAGGAAUAUUCUUGCCAGUUUCUGGAUGGAUUAAUACACACAACUAACAGCACCAAAGCAGAGAACACAUGUAUCCAGGAUGAAGGCUGCAGCUCUGAUGCCUGGAAGGAAGCUUUGAAGUAGACCAUGACAGACUGAAAUGUGCUGGGUGUGAUGAGAGUUAGCAUCGAGGUCUUGCUGAUGUUUGCCUGUGGAAGGCUCAAACAUUCUGUUGAUUCACAGCUUCUAUCAAAAAGAAAUUUCUGAAUUCUAUUAGCUCCAAAUGGACAGGAAGAUUUUCUUUCAAUCCCUUAAGUGCUCAUGUCAGACAAAAUUUAUGAUCCAAUGCAUUACUAUGAGAAUGUGUCAAUGAAACCAAUAUUUGAUUCAUUGUUUUUUUUCUGGACCCAGACCAAGGACAUUUUAAUGCCCUGAAUGGCAAGAUUUAGGAUUCCCAGCUGACCCUGCUUACAUUCAUUUCCUUUCCUAGAAUCCUAGCACCAGAGAUUUAAAGCUCAAAAAGACCAUAGAGGUUUUCAAGUCCAGUCCUCAUGUUUGACAGAAGAGGAAACUGAGUCCCAAGAGGCCAAAAAAGUUAAGCAAGGCCACUGGGUCUGGAAUCAUCAGAAAGAAAGAUUAAAAUAUUGGCUCUCGAAUUCCAGAUGAGUAUUCUCUCUAUCGUGCUAUGCUGCUUUCUUCUGAAAGGGAAUAAUCAUCCUAGUAGCCCUGCAUCAAAGAGUUUGGUGAAACCCACAUGAUGUUUUGGUGAUCUUACGGUGUUUUAUGACAUUAUCAUCACUGAAAGCAGGUAGGUGCCUUAAUGAAUAGAGCAUUGGUCCUCAAGUCAGGAAGACUUGAAUUCAAAUAUGGCCUCAGAUACUUAAGAGCUGUGUGACCCUGGGCAAGUCAUUUUAUCCUGUUUGUCUCAGUUUUCUCAUCUGUAAAAUGAGCUGGAGAAGGAAAUGGCAAACCACUUCAGUAUCUUUACCAAGAAAACUCCAAAUGGAAUCCUAAAGGGUAAGACAUGACUGAAAUGACUGAACAACAAAUUAUUA